rnacentral:rRNA from 1 species
GACGAACGCUGGCGGCGUGCCUAAUACAUGCAAGUAGAACGCUGAAGGAGGAGCUUGCUUCUCUGGAUGAGUUGCGAACGGGUGAGUAACGCGUAGGUAACCUGCCCGGUAGCGGGGGAUAACUAUUGGAAACGAUAGCUAAUACCGCAUAACAGUAGAUAUCGCAUGAUAGCUGCUUGAAAGGUGCAAUUGCACCACUACCAGAUGGACCUGCGUUGUAUUAGCUAGUUGGUGAAGUAACGGCUCACCAAGGCGACGAUACAUAGCCGACCUGAGAGGGUGAUCGGCCACACUGGGACUGAGACACGGCCCAGACUCCUACGGGAGGCAGCAGUAGGGAAUCUUCGGCAAUGGACGGAAGUCUGACCGAGCAACGCCGCGUGAGUGAAGAAGGUUUUCGGAUCGUAAAGCUCUGUUGUAAGAGAAAAACGAGUGUGAGAGUGGAAAGUUCACACUGUGACGGUAUCUUACCAGAAAGGGACGGCUAACUACGUGCCAGCAGCCGCGGUAAUACGUAGGUCCCGAGCGUUGUCCGGAUUUAUUGGGCGUAAAGCGAGCGCAGGCGGUUAGAUAAGUCUGAAGUUAAAGGCUGUGGCUUAACCAUAAUACGCUUUGGAAACUGUUUAACUUGAGUGCAAGAGGGGAAAGUGGAAUUCCAUGUGUAGCGGUGAAAUGCGUAGAUAUAUGGAGGAACACCGGUGGCGAAAGCGGCUCUCUGGCUUGUAACUGACGCUGAGGCUCGAAAGCGUGGGGAGCAAACAGG